rnacentral:rRNA from 1 species
AUACGGAGGAUCCGAGCGUUAUCCGGAUUUAUUGGGUUUAAAGGGUGCGUAGGCGGACGAUUAAGUCAGCUGUGAAAUGCCCGCGCUUAACGCGGGAAGUGCAGUUGAUACUGGUUGUCUGGAGUGCCGUUGCCGUGGGGGGAAUGUGUAGGGUAGCGGUGAAAUGCAUAGAUAUGACGAAGAACACCGAUUGCGUAGGCAGCUGACCAGACCGCAAAUGACGCUCAUGCACGAAAGUGCGGGGAUCGAACAGGAUUAGAUACCCUGGUAGUCCGCACAGUAAACGAUGAAUACUUGUUUUCGGCGAUAUAAUGUCGGAGGCAAAGCGAAAGCGAUAAGUAUUCCACCUGGGGAGUACGCCGGCAACGGUGAAACUUAAAGGAAUUGGCGGGG